rnacentral:piRNA from 1 species
UAGGAGGAAUAUGUAAGACACUGGUGCUC